rnacentral:lncRNA from 1 species
CGGGAUUAAAACAGUAACCAGAUUUAAAUACGUACAUAUAUAUAUAUAUAUAUAAGAAGAGGAGAAUGUUCUUAACUGUUCGAUGCAUCCCCGAGCAUAGCAUCUGAUGGCACUUGUAAAACUCGAGCACUCUCUACUUGGAGAUGACUCCAAGUAGAGAGCGAUUCACGUUGCGAUCGCUGUUUACGCGAUUUUUCGAGGAGACGAAACUGAAGGGAGUCUUUACGGCGAUGUUUACUGUUACUUGAAUUUUAAUUGGAGCGAAGCAACUGCAUUGCAUCCACAGUUACUGCUGCAACGUUUCAAGUUUCGGUAAAUACGUAGAGAGGGGGCUUUUCCGAAAUAUUCCCAUUCGCUCCCUCUAUUAACGCUUUUUUUCGGCGCCGAUCUCGCUUAAUAUACCGAUAUCCGUUAAACGCAAAAAAAAAAACUAAGUUCGAGUUUAGAAAAAUUAAAUUUUCUGACGGAUAUUUGAAUCCUGGUAUCGCACUCCUUUCUCACUCUCUCUCUGAUGGAAAAGCACGUAAACAGAGUUGCAAAAUUGAAAAUCGAAACCUGUAUUACAGUUUUUAUUUUAGUUUUUUUUUUUUUCUUUCGUUUUGCUUCUUUAACUUUAAGCUUUGGAGACUUUAAUAUUAAGCGGAGUCACCUGAAUAACUCCGGCAUUGACGUCAAAUAGGUAAAGAUUGCUAUGGCAACAGGAUGCACUGUAUAAACAAGUUCAGGAUCGUAUAAGGAACAGAUAUUAAAGAAAAGAUAUUCAUAAUUCACUCAACCGCUGCUUUCAGUUCUUUUGAUUCGUUCUAUUAUUGUAAAGAAGCACUUUAUUUAUCGGUUUAAGUCGUGUAAGUUUUUAAUUCGUUUCAUCUCUCUCUUCCCCGGUUAUGAAGAUUCCCAGAGGAGAGAGGACAAAUUAAAAACGACACCCACUCGUGACGUAAGGUCAAUGUUCUACGCGAGCAUUACACUUUCGUCCAAUGGUGUGCUUUAAUUAUCACAUUACCCGGAUGGCUUCGUUUCCGUAGACGUAAUGUGCACUUCCGUUAGCGAUUUAUAUAGUAGAAUUGCUUCGAUAUGGCGACUUUCUGACUUUCCUGUUCGUUGUUGCGAUUGUUUUUUGUGUGUGUUUUGUUAUGUGAGACUUGGCAGUAAGCUGCACUUGCACGUUAUUUAAUUCUGCACCUUACGAUAUGGUGAGUUUUUGACUUUGUUUUGUUGGGGGAUCGGUCGCAUGCGAGACCUCACAGUAACCUGCACUUGCACGUUAGUUAAUUAAGUUUUUCUUAAAGUAAAUUCGGUUCCUAACUAGUUGUUUAGACUGUUUUUUGCAGCAUAAUUAAGUUCUUGACGUUACCGAGAAAGAGAGCGAGUGUUACGUAUAGAACUGCAAACUUCACCGUUAAAAAGUGGUCUAGACCGUUCGGUUUUUCUCGGAAUGUCUCUGAGUUACGACAUGUUUAUUUUGGAUUAUUCGGUUAAUUUAUAGCCGGUUAAGAAGCCACGAUCGACGAGACAUUCCGAUUGACCCGCAUUAUCAAUCAGAACUUGUUUAUCCCGGUAACAACUGGGUCACAGGUGUAUAUCCUGGUAUAAGCAAUAUCGACAGGUGCCUCGGAGCGCUUCCGAUGAGGAAACACGUGACAGGAGAUUAAGUCACGGAUUGAUGACCGCAAAAGAGUCGCCCUUCUAUAUUCCAAACACCUACUUUAGUAUCAGUAGGUGUAUAUAGCACAUGGUUUGCGUAGGUUUCUUUUCGACUCGGAAUAAUGCCCCUUUCAAUAAUUCAAUUUUCAAGGGCUCCUUUGGGCUCUUGGCUGUCUCUUUUCCUGACGGAUAACAUUAUGGAUUGGGUAAGAUUUAUGUGUUUUUGAUAUUCUAGCAUAAUGGUUAACAGAUGGUCGGGCGUGUUGUUGUUAACGAGUUACAUAUGGUCCAGGAUGCUUUUUUUAGUUUUGUACACGUAGAGAUCGGGCAAGAGACGAAACUAAGAUAAGAAUUCUUAUCAGUAUGUAAGAGAUCCCUCUCCCUUCUGUUAAAGAUUAGAGGAUUUCUGUUGUAUCGUUCAAAACCCACGCUUACGGUUAGUUAACCAUAAAGGAACUGUUAAAAGAAUAAUCACUUCACCAAACCGAAUUCUCAAAAGCCACUUCGACUGAAAAGAGGAACACGCUAGAAGUUACAAAAUGAAUUUAUCUCGCUCUUUUCAGCGGACACGUACAGAAUAUAAAUUAAUCUUCGUCUCACGGAUUUUUAUCUCUCCAGAAUUUUUCUUACGCGGUCAUAAAAGGAGAGAGAAGAAGACCAGCUAAACUGUCUCUUCAUUGAAACUGUAAAGACGAAUAAACGAAACUUUUGCGGUUUUUGACGUCUAAAUUGGGAAGUGCGACGCGUUAGAAGUCGGUACGAGUCGCAUUUUAAGAGAUUCGACCAGGUGUGAAAAAGGCCCCAACGGUUGGGAAACCGGAUGUUCCAACGGCUUUCCUGCCUUACCAUAACCUGUUAACGAGCAGGUAGGUAGGUCGACAUUUGCAAACUCUUCUGAAUGGUUUAUGUAAGACUUUGCUUAUUAAUUUGCGUUACGUAAACAGUUUUAAGAACCUCGCUUUUUUUGCGACAUUACCGGUUGCUCUUUUCUUCUUCUUCUUCUUCUUCUUCUUUUGACAGAUCGGAUCCGGUCGAUAAAGUGAAUAAAAGACACAAAUUCGGUUAGAUAAUUCAAUAUUUGUUCUCUCUUAGAGAACCGAUUCUUUGGUAGAAAAUAAAUUUCGAAACUUUCUGCAACCAGAGAUGUGUGUAAACGUCGAAGCCUGUAAUUUUAUCCGUUAUUAAUUAAUUAAUAAGCCAUUUUUACGUAACUUUUCGCUAGAAUAAAGAUUUUUUUUUUCUUAUGUAUGGAAAAAAGUAAAAGCGCGAGUUUAUUCGCAGAUUUCUGGAUAGAAUUUAAUGGCAUUGCGAGCGUAGGAUUAGAAGGAGCAGAUAGAGCGAGAAGAUACGAAUGGAACUCGGCAAUGGGCGUAGUUUGGUGUUUUAGGAAGGGCGCAUUUGGAAAGCAACGCAUCACAUCACCCAGUCCGUUCGAAACUAUUAUUUUGUUAUAAUUAGCGGAGAAGACCGGUUUGAAAGAAACCACCUUUAACCCCUUAUAAUCUGUUCGUGGCCAAACGUUAGAAAUCUCCUUUAGGAAGUUACUCGACUGGUUUUUUUUUUCUGUAGCAGAUAGAGAGAGAGGGCUACACAAUGCCUUAUAUCCUAACUAACAAAAACACAAUCUUUCCGUAUGGAAUUCGCCUUAUCUCCGUUUUCGAUUUGGGUGAAAACAUACGCACACGCAUACACACCACACAUUGCAGAUGCGCUUGGUUUCUGUGUGGGAUUAAUUGUUCAGAGAAUUCCUUGGAGAAUUACGUGCCUUUCACCUUCUUAUCUUACUCUACUUUAAAGAAAAUAUUAAAAAAAAAAAAAAAAUUGCUAACAUAACGGAGGAUCUAUUUACAUAACUCUUAAACAAUGGAAGAUUAACGUGUGAAAAUCUGUAAACCAAAAUUAGUCGACCACUCGAGAAUUUUUUAAUUUUUCAGUUUUCUUAUAUAGAAAAUUAAUGUACUGGUAAAAAUUUCCGAUCAAUUUCUCAUAUAUAGAAAAAUACUAUUAAUUUUUAAACUGCAUUUUUCUUCAUCUCUCUCUCUGCCGCAGGAAUUGACUCUGUUCGUAGUGAAACGGGAGCAGCAGAGAAGAAUGAAUUUGAUUGGUUUCAGUUGCUCUUCUUGUUUAUACAGAUUUUAUAUAUAUAUAUUAUUUUAUUUUGUCUUUUUUUUUCUAUUCCUGUAUCACGAAAUAGAAACGAUGGAUUUUUAGAAAUUGCACCGUCCACAACGUAAUAGAAAAAUUAUAUAUACGUGUUGGUUCUCCAGAGAUUAGAAAACCGCAUGGCGCGUUGAAGUGUGUACACACACUUCUAAUUACUCCUCCAUAAGUCAACACAGGUCAACUUAAAGAGUGAAAUUAUGCCGUAAUCAAAUAGAGGUUUCCCUUUUCUAUGUAUAUAUAUGUAUAUAUAUUAUUAGUGGUUAUGGUAGACGAAGUAUAACUGAUAACCGGG